GGGGAUGAAGCCUGGUCCG
rnacentral:snRNA from 1 species